rnacentral:rRNA from 1 species
UACGGAGGGUGCAAGCGUUAUCCGGAUUCACUGGGUUUAAAGGGUGCGUAGGUGGGCAGGUAAGUCAGUGGUGAAAUCUCCGGGCUUAACCCGGAAACUGCCAUUGAUACUAUCUGUCUUGAAUACCGUGGAGGUGAGCGGAAUAUGUCAUGUAGCGGUGAAAUACUUAGAUAUGACACAGAACUCCGAUUGCGAAGGCAGCUCACUAAACUGUAACUGACGCUGAGGCACGAAAGCGUGGGGAUCAAACAGG